rnacentral:rRNA from 1 species
AGCGUACACGGUGGAUGCCCUGGCAGUCAGAGGCGAUGAAGGACGUGCUAAUCUGCGAUAAGCGUCGGUAAGGUGAUAUGAACCGUUAUAACCGGCGAUUUCCGAAUGGGGAAACCCAGUGUGUUUCGACACACUAUCAUUAACUGAAUCCAUAGGUUAAUGAGGCGAACCGGGGGAACUGAAACAUCUAAGUACCCCGAGGAAAAGAAAUCAACCGAGAUUCCCCCAGUAGCGGCGAGCGAACGGGGAGCAGCCCAGAGCCUGAAUCAGUGUGUGUGUUAGUGGAAGCGUCUGGAAAGGCGCGCGAUACAGGGUGACAGCCCCGUACACAAAAAUGCACAUGCUGUGAGCUCGAUGAGUAGGGCGGGACACGUGGUAUCCUGUCUGAAUAUGGGGGGACCAUCCUCCAAGGCUAAAUACUCCUGACUGACCGAUAGUGAACCAGUACCGUGAGGGAAAGGCGAAAAGAACCCCGGCGAGGGGAGUGAAAAAGAACCUGAAACCGUGUACGUACAAGCAGUGGGAGCACGCUUAGGCGUGUGACUGCGUACCUUUUGUAUAAUGGGUCAGCGACUUAUAUUCUGUAGCAAGGUUAACCGAAUAGGGGAGCCGAAGGGAAACCGAGUCUUAACUGGGCGUUAAGUUGCAGGGUAUAGACCCGAAACCCGGUGAUCUAGCCAUGGGCAGGUUGAAGGUUGGGUAACACUAACUGGAGGACCGAACCGACUAAUGUUGAAAAAUUAGCGGAUGACUUGUGGCUGGGGGUGAAAGGCCAAUCAAACCGGGAGAUAGCUGGUUCUCCCCGAAAGCUAUUUAGGUAGCGCCUCGUGAAUUCAUCUCCGGGGGUAGAGCACUGUUUCGGCAAGGGGGUCAUCCCGACUUACCAACCCGAUGCAAACUGCGAAUACCGGAGAAUGUUAUCACGGGAGACACACGGCGGGUGCUAACGUCCGUCGUGAAGAGGGAAACAACCCAGACCGCCAGCUAAGGUCCCAAAGUCAUGGUUAAGUGGGAAACGAUGUGGGAAGGCCCAGACAGCCAGGAUGUUGGCUUAGAAGCAGCCAUCAUUUAAAGAAAGCGUAAUAGCUCACUGGUCGAGUCGGCCUGCGCGGAAGAUGUAACGGGGCUAAACCAUGCACCGAAGCUGCGGCAGCGACGCUGAUGCGUUGUUGGGUAGGGGAGCGUUCUGUAAGCCUGUGAAGGUGUGCUGUGAGGCAUGCUGGAGGUAUCAGAAGUGCGAAUGCUGACAUAAGUAACGAUAAAGCGGGUGAAAAGCCCGCUCGCCGGAAGACCAAGGGUUCCUGUCCAACGUUAAUCGGGGCAGGGUGAGUCGACCCCUAAGGCGAGGCCGAAAGGCGUAGUCGAUGGGAAACAGGUUAAUAUUCCUGUACUUGGUGUUACUGCGAAGGGGGGACGGAGAAGGCUAUGUUGGCCGGGCGACGGUUGUCCCGGUUUAAGCGUGUAGGCUGGUUUUCCAGGCAAAUCCGGAAAAUCAAGGCUGAGGCGUGAUGACGAGGCACUACGGUGCUGAAGCAACAAAUGCCCUGCUUCCAGGAAAAGCCUCUAAGCAUCAGGUAACAUCAAAUCGUACCCCAAACCGACACAGGUGGUCAGGUAGAGAAUACCAAGGCGCUUGAGAGAACUCGGGUGAAGGAACUAGGCAAAAUGGUGCCGUAACUUCGGGAGAAGGCACGCUGAUAUGUAGGUGAAGUCCCUCGCGGAUGGAGCUGAAAUCAGUCGAAGAUACCAGCUGGCUGCAACUGUUUAUUAAAAACACAGCACUGUGCAAACACGAAAGUGGACGUAUACGGUGUGACGCCUGCCCGGUGCCGGAAGGUUAAUUGAUGGGGUCAGCGCAAGCGAAGCUCUUGAUCGAAGCCCCGGUAAACGGCGGCCGUAACUAUAACGGUCCUAAGGUAGCGAAAUUCCUUGUCGGGUAAGUUCCGACCUGCACGAAUGGCGUAAUGAUGGCCAGGCUGUCUCCACCCGAGACUCAGUGAAAUUGAACUCGCUGUGAAGAUGCAGUGUACCCGCGGCAAGACGGAAAGACCCCGUGAACCUUUACUAUAGCUUGACACUGAACAUUGAGCCUUGAUGUGUAGGAUAGGUGGGAGGCUUAGAAGUGUGGACGCCAGUCUGCAUGGAGCCGACCUUGAAAUACCACCCUUUAAUGUUUGAUGUUCUAACGUUGACCCGUAAUCCGGGUUGCGGACAGUGUCUGGUGGGUAGUUUGACUGGGGCGGUCUCCUCCUAAAGAGUAACGGAGGAGCACGAAGGUUGGCUAAUCCUGGUCGGACAUCAGGAGGUUAGUGCAAUGGCAUAAGCCAGCUUGACUGCGAGCGUGACGGCGCGAGCAGGUGCGAAAGCAGGUCAUAGUGAUCCGGUGGUUCUGAAUGGAAGGGCCAUCGCUCAACGGAUAAAAGGUACUCCGGGGAUAACAGGCUGAUACCGCCCAAGAGUUCAUAUCGACGGCGGUGUUUGGCACCUCGAUGUCGGCUCAUCACAUCCUGGGGCUGAAGUAGGUCCCAAGGGUAUGGCUGUUCGCCAUUUAAAGUGGUACGCGAGCUGGGUUUAGAACGUCGUGAGACAGUUCGGUCCCUAUCUGCCGUGGGCGCUGGAGAACUGAGGGGGGCUGCUCCUAGUACGAGAGGACCGGAGUGGACGCAUCACUGGUGUUCGGGUUGUCAUGCCAAUGGCACUGCCCGGUAGCUAAAUGCGGAAGAGAUAAGUGCUGAAAGCAUCUAAGCACGAAACUUGCCCCGAGAUGAGUUCU